GUUUUAAUAAUUUAAAUAAAAUAUUGGUCUUGUAAACCAAAAAUAAGUUAUUCUUUUAGAACU
rnacentral:tRNA from 1 species